rnacentral:rRNA from 1 species
CGGACGGGAUGAGUAAUGCCUAGCGAAUCUGCCUGGCUAGUUGGGGGAUAACGUUCGGAAACGGACGCUAAUACCNCAUACGUCCUACGGGAGAAAGCAGGGGACCUUCGGGCCUUGCGCUAUCAGAUGAGCCUAGGUCGGAUUANCUAGUUGGUGGGGUAAUGGCUCACCAAGGCGACGAUCCGUAACUGGUCUGAGAGGAUGAUCAGUCACACUGGAACUGAGACACGGUCCANACUCCUACGGGAGGCAGCAGUGGGGAAUAUUGGACAAUGGGCGAAAGCCUGAUCCAGCCAUGCCGCGUGUGUGAAGAAGGUCUUCGGAUUGUAAAGCACUUUAAGUUGGGAGGAAGGGUUGUAGAUUAAUACUCUGCAAUUUUGACGUUACCGACAGAAUAAGCACCGGCUAACUCUGUGCCAGCAGCCGCGGUAAUACAGAGGGUGCAAGCGUUAAUCGGAAUUACUGGGCGUAAAGCGCGCGUAGGUGGUUAGUUAAGUUGGAUGUGAAAUCCCCGGGCUCAACCUGGGAACUGCAUUCAAAACUGACUGACUAGAGUAUGGUAGAGGGUGGUGGAAUUUCCUGUGUAGCGGUGAAAUGCGUANAUAUAGGAAGGAACACCAGUGGCGAAGGCGACCACCUGGACUGAUACUGACACUGAGGUGCGAAGCGUGGGGGANCA